CACCCGCCCUCUGCUCCUCACGCCCAAGUUCGCUGGACCCUCGCGACUGUCCCCAGGGCAGGUGUGGUUAUUACCGACCUGCUACCGAGCGGGACACUGAGGCACAGAGGGAUGGGCCUGGCCAAGAUCCCACGGCCAUUUGCUGGGGACAGGUGUCCGGGCCACCCGCUCCAAACACCUGCCUACUCCCAGGCGGCCCGACAGGAAGUGUUGGACGAAAGAAGGACCUCCAGUUGACUAGAAGUGGUGAGUCUGGGCGUCUCGGCCUUGUUUCCGAUCCUAGAGGACAGCUUCCAGCUUCUCACCGUCGAAGACGAUGCUAGCUGUGGGGUGUCAUAUACGGCCUUUAUUAGGGUGUUCUCGUGAUUUUUGUCCUUCACCUGGUCAACGCGGUGAAUCCCGUUGGUGGCUACGUGGCUGUCGAACUAUCCUUGCAUCCCUGGAAUAAACCCCGCUCGGCCGCAGUGAGUGGUCGUGUGGACUGUUGAAUCUGG